AUAUCAGUCAUGCAUAGCAUAUCAAUAAGCGGAGGAAAAGAAACUAACAAGGAUUCCCUCAGUAACGGCGAGUGAAGCGGGAAGAGCUCAAAUUUGAAAUCUUCAAGGUUCUACCUUGACGAAUUGUAGUUUAAAGAAGUGUUUUCUGUUGGAGUUUCGGUAAAAGUUCUUUGGAAUAGGACAUCAUAGAGGGUGAGAAUCCCGUAUUUGACCAUUACUUUCCAGCUGUGUGAUACACUUUCAAAGAGUCGGAUUGUUUGGGAAUGCAGUCCAAAAUGGGUGGUAAAUUUCAUCUAAAGCUAAAUAUUGGCGAGAGACCGAUAGCGAACAAGUACCGUGAGGGAAAGAUGAAAAGAACUUUGAAAAGAGAGUUAAACAGUACGUGAAAUUGUCAAAAGGGAAGCGUUUGACACCAGUGUUGUUUAGUUCGAAAAUCAAUUCACUAAUUUUUGAUUUUGAGUAGUUAUGACUUCAUCAGCUUGCUGCCUUUCUUUACGGAAACUUUCUUGAAUGCACUUUUCAGUUAACAAGUCAACAUCAAUUUCUUUUGUUGUAAAAGGGUAAGAGGAAGGUGGCUUACGCUUCGGCGUAAGUGUUUAUAGCCUUUUACCUCUGCAAUCGGAGAGAUUGAGGACAGCAGCGUAGACUCUUCGGGGUUAGAUACACUUGUGCUAAGCUAUAGCCUUGUAUAGACAACUUGUUGACUAUGCUCGAUCAUGUAGCUUACUCGCUUAUGCUAUUUUACCUACGCUUAGGAUGUUGAUGUGAUACUGCGAGCA
rnacentral:rRNA from 1 species